UACGGGGGGGGCAAGCGUUGUUCGGAAUUACUGGGCGUAAAGGGUUCGUAGGUGGCCAACUAAGUCAGACGUGAAAUCCCUCAGCUCAACUGGGGAACUGCGUCUGAUACUGGUCGGCUUGAGUGCAGGAGAGGAACGCGGAAUUCCAGGUGUAGCGGUGAAAUGCGUAGAUAUCUGGAGGAACACCGGUGGCGAAGGCGGCGUUCUGGACUGUAACUGACACUGAUGAACGAAAGCCAGGGGAGCAAACGGG
rnacentral:rRNA from 1 species